UACGGGGGGAGCAAGCGUUGUUCGGAUUUACUGGGCGUAAAGGGCGCGUAGGCGGUCAGCACAAGUCAGUUGUGAAAUCUCCGGGCUUAACUCGGAAAGGUCAACUGAUACUGUGCGACUAGAGUGCAGAAGGGGCAACUGGAAUUCUCGGUGUAGCGGUGAAAUGCGUAGAUAUCGAGAGGAACACCUGCGGCGAAGGCGGGUUGCUGGGCUGACACGUGACGCUGGAUGCGCGAAAGCCAGGGAGCGAACGGG
rnacentral:rRNA from 1 species